ACAAUGGAGAGUUUGAUCCUGGCUCAGGAUGAACGCUAGCGGCAGGCUUAACACAUGCAAGUCGAGGGGCAGCGGGGUAGCAAUACCGCCGGCGACCGGCAAACGGGUGCGGAACACGUACGCAACUUACCCUAAACUGGUGAAUAGCCUUCGGAAACGAAGAUUAAUACACCGUAAAAUAGUUGAGUGGCAUCACUUGAUUAUAAUAGCUCCGGCGGUUUAGGAUGGGCGUGCGUCCCAUUAGCUAGUUGGUAAGGUAACGGCUUACCAAGGCGACGAUGGGUAACUGGUGUGAGAGCACGACCAGUCACACGGGCACUGAGACACGGGCCCGACUCCUACGGGAGGCAGCAGUGAGGAAUAUUGGUCAAUGGACGCAAGUCUGAACCAGCCAUGCCGCGUGAAGGAUGAAGGCGUUCUGCGUUGUAAACUUCUUUUAUCUGGGAAGAAACCU
rnacentral:rRNA from 1 species